CAAUAGCGUAUAUUAAAGUUGUUGCAGUUAAAAAGCUCGUAGUUGGAUUUCUGGUGGGAAUGGCCGGUCCGCCGUUUCGGUGUGCACUUGCUACGCCCACCUUGCUGCCGGGGACGUGCUCUUGAGUUCACGCUCGGGACACGGAGUCGGCGAGGUUACUUUGAGUAAAUUAGAGUGUUCAAAGCAGGCCUACGCUCUGAAUACAUUAGCAUGGAAUAACACGAUAGGACUCUGGCCUAUCUUGUUGGUCUGUAGGACCGGAGUAAUGAUUAAGAGGGACAGUCGGGGGCAUUCGUAUUUCAUUGUCAGAGGUGAAAUUCUUGGAUUUAUGAAAGACGAACUACUGCGAAAGCAUUUGCCAAGGAUGUUUUCAUUAA
rnacentral:rRNA from 1 species